rnacentral:RNase_P_RNA from 2 species
UCAGUCGGCCGGACGGCCGCUCCCGUUACGGUCGAAAGGCUGCGGGAGAGGAAAGUCCGGGCUCCAUCGACAUACGGUGCCGGAUAACAUCCGGCGGGGGCGACCCCAGGGACAGUGCCACAGAGAACGAACCGCUCCCCCUACCCGCAAGGGAGGGGCAGUAAGGGUGAAAAGGUGCGGUAAGAGCGCACCGCGUAUCCGGCAACGGAAACGGCAUGGCAAACCACACCGGGAGCAAAACCGAAUAGGGACGGCAACGCGGUCAGUUCGCUCUCUGAGCGAUAACACCGCAGGGCGAUGUCAGGCUCGCCGUCCGGGUAGGUUGCUCGAGGCCAUGUGCGAACAUGGUCCCAGAGGAAUGGCCGUCACGUAUCGUCGCGCAAGCGGCGGUGCCUUACAGAACCCGGCUUACAGGCCGGCUGAUGCU